AACGAACGCUGGCGGCAGGCUUAACACACGCAAGUCGAACGCCCCGCAAGGGGAGUGGCAGACGGGUGAGUAACGCGUGGGAAUCUACCCAGUUCUACGGAACAACACAGGGAAACUUGUGCUAAUACCGUAUACGCCCUAAGGGGGAAAGACUUAUCGGAAUUGGAUGAGCCCGCGUUGGAUUAGCUAGUUGGUGGGGUAAUGGCCUACCAAGGCGACGAUCCAUAGCUGGUCUGAGAGGAUGAUCAGCACACUUGGACUGCGACACGGCCCAGGAUCCUACGGGUGGCAGCAGAGGGGUGUAUUGGACAGUGGGCGGUUGCCUGAUCCAGCCAUGCCACGUGAGAGAUGAAGGACUUAGGGUUGUAAAGCUCUUUCAGUAGGAACGAUAAUGAAGGUAGCUACAGAAGAAGCCCUGGCUAAGUUCGUGCCAGCAGCCGCGGUAA
rnacentral:rRNA from 1 species